GAUGAACGCUGGCGGCGUGCUUGACACAUGCAAGUCGAACGAGCCGGAAACUGUACAGAUAAACAAGAAGGGUUAGAAGAUGAGAAAUCAUUGGAAGGCCCAGGCGGUAAGGAAGUACAAAGGAAGGUUAGUGGCGGACGGGUGAGUAACACGUAGGGAAUCUGCCUUAGAGUGGGGGACAACUAUUCGAAAGGAUAGCUAAUACCGCAUAAUCUCUAUUUUUGGGAUAGGAUAGAGGAAAGCCGAAAGGCGCUCCGAGAUGAGCCUGCGGCCGAUUAGCUAGUUGGGGGGGUAAAGGCCUCCCAAGGCGACGAUCGGUAGCUGGUCUGAGAGGAUGAUCAGCCACACUGGAACUGAGACACGGUCCAGACUCCUACGGGAGGCAGCAGUGAGGAAUAUUGCACAAUGGGCGAAAGCCAGAUGCAGCAACGCCGCGUGAGUGAAGAAGGCCUUCGGGUUGUAAAACUCUUUUCCAGGGGAAGAGGAAGGACGGUACCCUGGGAAUAAGCCUCGGCUAACUACGUG
rnacentral:rRNA from 1 species